GAUGAACGCUGGCGGCGUGCCUAAUACAUGCAAGUCGAGCGAACAGACGAGGAGUUUGCUCCUCUGACGUUUGCCGCGGACGGGUGAGUAACACGUGGAUAACCCACCUAUAAGACUGGGAUAACUUCGGGACACCGGAGCUAAUACCGGAUAAUAUAUUGAACCGCAUGGUUCAAUAGUGAAAGACGGUUUUGCUGUCACUUAUAGAUGGAUCCGCGCCGCAUUAGCUAGUUGGUAAGGUAACGGCUUACCAAGGCAACGAUGCGUAGCCGACCUGAGAGGGUGAUCGGCCACACUGGAACUGAGACACGGUCCAGACUCCUACGGGAGGCAGCAGUAGGGAAUCUUCCGCAAUGGGCGAAAGCCUGACGGAGCAACGCCGCGUGAGUGAUGAAGGUCUUCGGAUCGUAAAGCUCUGUUAUUAGGGAAGAACAAAUGUGUAAGUAACUGUGCACGUCUUGACGGUACCGGAUCAGAAAGCCACGGCUAACUACGUG
rnacentral:rRNA from 1 species